AGAGUUUGAUCAUGGCUCAGGAUGAACGCUAGCGGCAGGCUUAACACAUGCAAGUCGAGGGGCAGCGGGGUGUAUCAAUACACUGCCGGCGACCGGCGCACGGGUGCGUAACGCGUAUGCAACCUACCCAUAACAGGGGCAUAACACUGAGAAAUUGGUACUAAUUCCCCACUAACAUUCGAAGAGGCAUCUCUUUGGGUUGAAAACUCCGGUGGUUAUGGAUGGGCAUGCGUUGUAUUAGCUA
rnacentral:rRNA from 1 species